rnacentral:rRNA from 1 species
UCUCUCUGAAUCUGCGAACGGCUCCGCAAACCAGUUGUAAACUAUAGCAAGCUCUCCUAUGAUCGCCCCUUCACGGGGGGGGUCUGGGAAAUAGGGAUAACCCUGGUAAUUCUGAGGCUAAUACCACCACGUAAAACCUGGCUGACUGGGCAACCGGAAGGCUGGGGGGCGUGCAAUUUUUUCGCGAGGUUUACCGGGAAGGGACGCACGUCUGGACCGCGCAAAACGGAUGACUGGGCCUUCGGGACUGGGCUUCUAGCGGCUCUUGCUGUGUGCUUCUGACCUAUCAACUAGAUGGCAGCGUAAGGGACAUGCUAUGGUGACAACGGGUACAGAGGAUUAGGGUUCGAUCCUGGAGAGUGGGCCUGAGAGAUU